AACGAACGCUGGCGGCAUGCCUAACACAUGCAAGUCGAACGAGACCUUCGGGUAUAGUGGCGCACGGGUGCGUAACGCGUGGGAACCUGCCCUUAGGUUCGGAAUAGCUCCCCGAAAGGGGUGCUAAUACCGGAUAAUGUCUUCGGACCAAAGAUUUAUCGCCUUUGGAUGGGCCCGCGUUGGAUUAGCUAGUUGGUAGGGUAAAAGCCUACCAAGGCGACGAUCCAUAGCUGGUCUGAGAGGAUGAUCAGCCACACUGGGACUGAGACACGGCCCAGACUCCUACGGGAGGCAGCAGUGGGGAAUAUUGGACAAUGGGCGAAAGCCUGAUCCAGCAAUGCCGCGUGAGUGAUGAAGGCCUUAGGGUUGUAAAGCUCUUUUACCCGGGAUGAUAAUGACAGUACCGGGAGAAUAAGCUCCGGCUAACUCCGUG
rnacentral:rRNA from 1 species